rnacentral:lncRNA from 1 species
AACUUUUGAAGCUGGUUUAAGCGCUUGAACUCGCCGCAAAGGGGAAAUUCAAGUUAGAUCCUAAAUUGGGUACGAGGCUAUCUAGAUUCAGCGCAUAUGUGAGAUUCUUGUAGUAAGUUGACAUCAAGCUUCUAACUUGAUUAGUAUGUUGGUUAGGGGAUUUGGAGACUUCGGGUUACUUGCGGUUGCGAGCUCGGCAGGAGUCGUCAAUCACUUGGUGGGUCUGACUUUCCAGAAAUUGGUGAAUUUCCUUUAUGUCUUCUUGACAUUAUGAAACUGGAAUUAUUGCAUACCAAUGUGAACAUAUGUAUACUUGAAUGGAUUGGAGCACGCAUCAAUAUG